UACGAAGGGGGCUAGCGUUGUUCGGAAUCACUGGGCGUAAAGCGCACGUAGGCGGAUCUUUAAGUCAGGGGUGAAAUCCCGAGGCUCAACCUCGGAACUGCCUUUGAUACUGGAGAUCUCGAGUCCGGGAGAGGUGAGUGGAACUGCGAGUGUAGAGGUGAAAUUCGUAGAUAUUCGCAAGAACACCAGUGGCGAAGGCGGCUCACUGGCCCGGAACUGACGCUGAGGUGCGAAAGCGUGGGGAGCAAACAGG
rnacentral:rRNA from 1 species